GGUCCUUCAUCCAAGAACCGAUAAACGCGGUGACCGGCGCCUUCAACGCAUUUAUGAUUAAUUUUAUAAUCCAGUCUGGUAGUUUUAAGAAGCGAGUUCUUGCAUCCGCCCUAUUCGAAUCGGCGGGGCGGUGGAGCGCCAGCGAGCCCAAGGUCUCCCAGGCGAGCAUGGCAGGACUGGAGGGCUCCCGGCAGGGCGCCUCGGCGUCCAUCGGGACCCCGACGGAGGUGCCGGAGAUCUUCCGGCUACAAAGCCGGGCAGGUGGGGCUCGUUAGCCGUGGAAGGCAAUCUGCCUAGGAGAGCAAACUCCGAACAACAAACCCGGGCAGGUGAGGUUCGUUAGCCGUGGUAGGCAAUUCACCUAGGAGAGCAAACUCCGAACAACAAACCAGGGCAGGUGAGGUUCGUUAGCCGUGGUAGGCAAUUCACCUAGGAGAGCAAACUCCGAACAAUAAACCCGGGCAGGUUGGGCUCGUGAGCCGUCAUAGGUAAUACACCUAGGAGAGCAAACUCCGAACAAUAAACCCGGGCAGGUGGAGGUCGUUAGCGAAAGCAAUUCAUCUAGGAGAGCAAACUCCGAUUACAAACCCGGGCAGGUGGAGGUCGUUAGCGAAAGCAGUUCACCUAGGAGAGCAAACUCCGAUUACAAACCCGGGCAGGUGGAGGUCGUUAGCGAAAGCAGUUCACCUAGGAGAGCAAACUCCGAUUACAAACCCGGGCAGGUGGAGGUCGUUAGCGAAAGCAGUUCACCUAGGAGAGCAAACUCCGAUUACAAACCCGGGCAGGUGGAGGUCGUUAGCGAAAGCAGUUCACCUAGGAGAGCAAACUCCGAUUACAAACCCGGGCAGGUGAGGUUCGUUAGCCGUGGUAGGCAAUUCACCUAGGAGAGCAAACUCCGAACAAUAAACCCGGGCAGGUGGAGCUCGUCAGCCGUGGUAGGCAGUCUGCCUAGGAGAGCAAACUCCGAACAAUAAACCCGGGCAGGUGGAGCUCGUCAGCCGUGGUAGGCAGUCUGCCUAGGAGAGCAAACUCCGAACAAUAAACCGGGGCUUGUGGUGCUCGUUAGAUGUCGUAGACAAUCCACGUGAUGGGAACACCAAAGAAAUGGAAAAUAAAAAGGAACACCAGAAAAAGGAAAAUUCAGUAACAAAACAUCAAGAAAAGAAAAUAAAAAACACAGAUCAUCCACCUUCAGGCCCUAACAUCACCAAAAUUAUGGAUGAGUCUUUUCUGGGGAGAAAGAGGCUCAUUCAGACCAAAGAACAUCAAAAAGGGAUGAUAUAGAAAGGAACACCAAAAAAAUGGGAAAAAGAGAAAAAAACAUCGCAAAAGAAAAGUAACAACAAUAACAGAACAACGUCAAGAAAAGUAACAUACAAAGAAACAUCAUCCACCAUUCGGCCCCAAACUAACAUCACCAAAAUUAUGGAUGGGUCUUUUCUGGGGAGAAAGAGGCUCAUCCAGACCAGAGAACAUCAAAAAGGGAUGAUAUAGAAAAGAACACCAAAAAAUAGGGGAAAAAAGAGCAAAAAAACAUCGCAAAAGAAAAGUAACAGCAAUAACAGAACAUCAAGAAAAGUAACAUACAAAGAAACAUCAUCCACCAUUCGGCCCCAAACUAACAUCACCAAAAUUAUGGGUGGGUCACUUCUGGGAGGAAAGCGGCUCACCCAGACCAACGAAGAACAUCAACAAGAGGAUGAUAUGAAAUAAAAGAACAUUAAAAUACACGAAGAAAAGAAAUAAGAAGAAAAAGAACAGAAAAAAACAUUGGAAAACAAAAACAAGAAGAAAAACACAUCAAGAGAAGAAAAAUAUAAGAAACAUCAUCCACCUUUCGGCCCCUAACUAACAUCACCAAAAUUAUGGGUGGGUCUCUUCUGGGAGGAAAGCGGCUCACCCAGACCAAUGAACAUCAACAAGAGGAUGAUAUGAAAUAAAAGAACAUCAAAAAAGAAAAACAACAGCAAGAAAACAAAGAAAAGGAUAAAGAAAAGAAAAGGAAAAAGAAACAAAAAGAAAAAAACACCAAAAUAAAAUAAAACAAAAACAAAAAAAUAAUCCAAAUAAAUAAAUAAACAAAAAAAUACAGAAUACAGUAAAAUUAGCGAACUAACUAACUAAUUCAAACUGUCUAUCUAUUAAA